rnacentral:lncRNA from 1 species
GGGGGCACAUGACCAUCAGCAAGAGAGAAGCUGCCUCACGGACGCACCUGAGUGCUGCCUCUCCACCACAGACACCCAGAAACUCACAAGCUGGAAGCACUCGCUCACUCCAGGAUUCAACUCUAAACUGGACAUUUCCUAGCUGAAAUAAUCACAAAACUGCAACAACAGAGCAAAAGAGAGGUAAGGAAGACGAAGCCGCAGGCAGCCUGUCACCUGUAUAGGUGCUAAGUGUGUUCUAAGCCAUCUUCAGGAACCUUGCACAGAAAUAUAUUGUGGUGGUCUUAGUUUAGGACAAAGCACAAAACUUACAAGAAACUAAGGCCAACCAGUAACUCCUUGAAACAAACGAGCUUUGUGGGGUCAUUUGAAAAAAUUCAACUAGGAAAUAACAACAACAGUAACACAGCAAAAGCAUCUCACCCAGUACUGAUGUCAUUCCUGAAUCUCGUGGUUUCUUUCCAGUUUGUACCAAUAGAAUGCACAGGAAAAGGCUUCGCUGUGCUUAGCAGGUUCCGAUGUGAGGCAUCAGAAUAUGGGUCGCAGAUGGAAGAGGUGCCCAUCCAUCCAGAGCCGGUAUUUGGUCCCAAAUUCCACAGCCACAGAGUUCUGCACAUGCUCUCCCGUGACAGCUGGAUAGGGAUGGCCUCCUGAGAAGCCACAGGCUAUGGCCCUGCCAGCCUGGCACUGAGGCAGGGCGACACUUCCAGCUGAAGGGAGUGUUCUUCAAUACCUCUGGCUGAAGGAAGCUGUGCUGGGAGGGGUGACAUCAAGAGUGCAGGCACCGCAGCCCCAUGUUCUGCGUCUCAGCUGCAGAGCCAUGAAUGGUUCCGCUGGGAACAGGUCCCGGCCUCUGAGCUCACAACUUGCAGUUGACGUAGCUUUAGUGAUGAUUCUUUGAUCAUCAUCUACAGUCUCCUGGCAGGACACAGGGAGGUGUGAGCAGCUGACCCCGUCUGACGACUCAGACCUGACUUGCUCAGGAGAGCCAGCCCGAUCCGGUCCACUUUCUUGAGGUCUGACGUCCAAUCCACCUCACUGGGUUCCAACAGAUCUCCACUUUUGGAGGAAGGAUCUUCACUUGAUCUAAGGACAGAAUUUUUAAGGUGGACAAGCAAAGCCUAAAGUCCCUUCCAGCCCUGCAAUACUAUGGGGUCUACACAGAAGUAGAAGACUGCUCUUCUCACUCAUUGGCUUUGCUUCAACAAAUGGUUCGGCUUCUGCCGUGAUGAAGACCAGCUCACUCAAACCUUGGUUCCUAUGAAAGUAACUGAAGAGCUUCCAGAAUACAAUGAUAGUCCCAAAGGGAUCUGAUGUGGCUGAGUAGGGCAACCUCAGAAACACCAUCAGAAACAAUGAAAACCAUACAACAAAUGUGCUCAUCAUAUACUUACAACCAGAUCUCAAGUCUUCAGUCAUCUCAUCACAUUUUGUUUGCUCGUAAAAGAUGUGUGACAGGCAAGGUCCAUGACCCCUCUGCCCUCUUCAUUUCCAUAGACCACAUUCUGUGUGAGAUUCAUUUCUAAAAAACAGAAUUCCAAAACUAUCCAUUGACACAUGUAACAACUAAAAUGAUACGACAUUCUCACAUAAUUGUUUUAUCUAGAUGACUGCCUUAAUUACCAACAGCACUGAAAUCUGCCCAAAAUGUGUUGGAAAAAGAAAAA